GAUGAACGCUGGCGGCGUGCCUAAUACAUGCAAGUCGAGCGAAUGGAUUAAGAGCUUGCUCUUAUGAAGUUAGCGGCGGACGGGUGAGUAACACGUGGGUAACCUGCCCAUAAGACUGGGAUAACUCCGGGAAACCGGGGCUAAUACCGGAUAAUAUUUUGAACUGCAUGGUUCAAAAUUGAAAGGCGGCUUCGGCUGUCACUUAUGGAUGGACCCGCGUCGCAUUAGCUAGUUGGUGAGGUAACGGCUCACCAAGGCAACGAUGCGUAGCCGACCUGAGAGGUUGAUCGGCCACACUGGGACUGAGACACGGCACAGACUCCUACGGGAGGCAGCAGUAGGGAAUCUUCCGCAAUGGAGGAAAGUCUGACGGAGCAACGCCGCGUGAGUGAUGAAGGCUUUCGGGUCGUAAAACUCUGUUGUUAGGGAAGAACAAGUGCUAGUUGAAUAAGCUGGCACCUUGACGGUACCUAACCAGAAAGCCACGGCUAACUACGUGCCAGCAGCCGCGGUAA
rnacentral:rRNA from 1 species